rnacentral:rRNA from 1 species
GACGAACGCUGGCGGCGUGCUUAACACAUGCGAGUCGAACGAAGAGCGAUGGAAGCUUGCUUCUAUCAAUCUUAGUGGCGAACGGGUGAGUAACGCGUAAUCAACCUGCCCUUCAGAGGGGGACAACAGUUGGAAACGACUGCUAAUACCGCAUACGAUCUAAUCUCGGCAUCGAGGAUAGAUGAAAGGUGGCCUCUACAUGUAAGCUAUCACUGAAGGAGGGGAUUGCGUCUGAUUAGCUAGUUGGAGGGGUAACGGCCCACCAAGGCGAUGAUCAGUAGCCGGUCUGAGAGGAUGAACGGCCACAGUGGGACUGAGACACGGCCCAGACUCCUACGGGAGGCAGCAGUGGGGAAUCUUCCGCAAUGGACGAAAGUCUGACGGAGCAACGCCGCGUGAGCGAUGACGGCCUUCGGGUUGUAAAGCCCUGUUAAUCGGGACGAAAGGCCUUCUUGCGAAUAGUGAGAAGGAUUGACGGUACCGGAAUAGAAAGCCACGGCUAACUACGUG